rnacentral:rRNA from 1 species
GACUCUUAGCGGUGUAUCACUCGGUCGUGCGCGAUGAAGAACGCAGCUAGCUGCGAGAAUUAUGUGAAAUUGCAGGACACAUUGAUCAUCGACACUUUCGAAACGCACUCCUGCGGCCCCGGGUCCUCCGGGCUACGCCUGUCUGAGCGUUC